GAAGCCGUCCGCGGCCCCCACCCCUCCCGCCUGGCUCGGGCGCCAGGAGAAGCGGACAUUUUAGCCUCCUCUGCAAUCCGCUCUCUCGUUCGUGUCCUUCUCCCCCCUCUCGUCCGGUAGGGCCGGCAGUGUAGAUUUCCCCAGGGGCGGGGGUGGGAUCUGAGCAAUCACUCGCCCUCCCCCCUCCCAGGGGCGGGGAGGGGGUGAUUUAGGGAGGACUCCACGGGGCCCAAAGGUUCGCACCGCCCCGCCGCGGCCCAGCCUGCAGAAGCCCCCCGCUGCCGCGGCGCCCCCGCUCCCCGCCCCGCGAGGCGCGCGCAGCUGCGCCCGGGCCUGUCCUCGCUUCACCCCCACUCUGCCCCUUCGGUAUUUCUCAAUGACCGGCGCUCCGAGGACACUUCCGACGCGGAGGGAGGGGGUGUCAUUAGCGCUCGGUUAUCAGUUCCUUCCGGUCUCCCCGAGCUCAACCCUGCGCGCGGCCGGGCCGCGCCUCGGGCGAUCUGGUGCCUUUAUUAUGAUGUUUAAGUAAGCAGUCGUGUGUGCCAAGUGAGUUUGUAGCCCAGCUGUCUCCCCCAAGCCCCGCUGGCAGGAAUGGAAACCCAAGCUCUCUCGUAAUGCAGGGGAUGAUGCAAACUUAGAAACUGACCCGGCGCCCGGGAAUGAGGCCCCCCCGCCCCGGGCGUGCGGCGGCCCAGUCGGGGCAUGAAUGGCUGGAGCCCGAUUGCAUAAUCCGCGCGGUAUAAAUAGCCGGCGGGCGGGCCGCUGACGCGCUCGGUUGUGCCGUUAUCGUGCAAUGCUUCAUCCCCGGUGCCGUUCAAUCCCAGGUCGUUUUCCCUUUCAGCUGCAAUGCCGGGAUUUUAAAUAGCAGAGAUGAAAGGCCCCUGCCCCCGCCUCCCUCCUCCCCUGAGUUCAUGUAUUAUGAAUGAAACGGCAGCCUCGCUGCUUCCUGAGGUGCUCCACUUCAGGCUGGGGUGCAAUGGCUCGAUCUCGGCUCAGUGCAACCUCUGCUUCCCGGGUUCAAGUGAUUCUCCUGCGUCAGCCUCCCAAGCAGCUGUGAAUACAGGUUGGAGUGCAGUGGUGCUGUGUCUGGAGUUUGUUCCUGCCGUUGGGUUUGUGGUCUUGCUGACUUCAAGAAUGAAGCCACGGACCUUCACGAGAAAUAUUACGUUGUAUGGAUGUACCACUGUUUGUUUAUCCAUUCUUCAGGUGAAGGACAUGUGGGUUGUGCCCAGCGCGGGCUGAAUAAAGCCAUCAUAAUGUGAAGAAGCCGAAGCAGCCUGUGAAGAGGCGCUAGUGGAAAGGAACUCAGGUGCCCCUGCCCUCAGUCCCAGCUGAACUCUCAGCUGACAGCCAUCACCAACUUGCCAGCCACAGGAGUGAGCCAACUUGAGAGUGGAUCUUUCAGUCCCAGUGGAGCCAUCUCAGCUGACACACCAUGGUAAAAAGAUGAACCAUCCUUGCUGAUCCUUGCCAGUGCUGCAGAUACAUAAGCAAAAUAAAUGUUUUUGUUGUUUUAAGCCACU
rnacentral:lncRNA from 10 species